UCUCUAUGUGUUUUUCUUGAGGUGGUUACAUAGAGAACGUUCAUUAUUUUACUAUUUUAAACACACUGCUCAGUGGCCUUAGGGACAUUCACAAUGUCGCCCAGCCGGCAACACCAUCCAUCUCCCUAAAGGGAAACCUUUGUCUCAGAUGAACACUAACUACCCAUGCCUCCCUCCUCCAGGCCUUGGGCUAAAUGUCCAUUCCUCCCUCCCUGAGCUAUGCAUCUGACCCCUCGAGGUUCUGAAUCUAAGUGGGAGCAUAUGCUAUGUGCUUAUUUCCCUCAGCAGAACUAGUCUUUAGGGCUCAUCCCUACUGCAGCCUGGGACAGAAUCUCCUUCCAUUCUAAGACUGAAAAGUACUCCACUCAAUGGAGAGACCACACUUUGUCUAUCCCUUCAUCCAUGGAUGGAGAAUUGGGUGCUUCCAUGUCUCCCUCUCAGGAAUCAGGCUGAUAUGAGCAUGGGUGCACAAGAAGCUGUUGGAGUCCCUGCCUUUCCUGUUGUGUAGAAAUAGCCAGAAGAGAAAUUGCUGGAUCAUUCGUUCCCCUGGGAGCGCGGCCACUAUGCCCUUAUUUAAUUGACACCCAAAACGUCAGCUGUUGGGGUUCGUGGUGGCCACCGUCGGAUGGGUCCUCGGAACCACAUCCAUGGCUCUGGCUGAGUGGCGAUUGUGGUACGUCAACAGCACCUCGCUCUUAACCUCCUGCCUACCCUGUGUGGGAGUAUGGAGAGCCUGCAUCUUCCAUCACGGCAACGGCCUCGACUGCCCCAUCGGGUGUCAGGGUUAUAGCUACUUCGAUUCCUCCGUCCCACUGGAUAUCCGUGUUGCUCAAAUACUCCUGCUGCUCAACACCGUUCUAGGGCUUUUCAGCAAAGCUGCCAUCAUCUUUGCGCUUAAGAACAUGUACCUGAGCAAAGUGCAGAAGACCUGUGAUGCAUCUGCUGUUGCAGGAAUGCUGAGCAUAGCUGCUAGUGUCUGCAUCCUAGCUGCUGUUGUCUCGAACCAACUGUCCAUCAAUGCCGAAGAGGGAAUUGCCUUCCCACCAUCUUUCAAUCUACCCUUCAAGCCGGACUCCCAGGAAGUCGGCGGGGCUGCUCUCAUGGCCUUUCUGGGUUCCUUCGGGCUCUUUUUUGGGGGGUUGGCUUACCUCUCUUACAAAUACCCGCUAGACAGCCGAGUGCAUCCUGCAACAUCAGACACAUAAAAUUCCUCAUUGCAUUAGGCUUUCUAAACCCCAAAUUACCAGAGUUCAUUUGAAGUGUUACCUCAGGAUGCUGCGUCACUUAGUUGUAAAGACUCUAAACCAUCACAAAUGUAGUUGGGGGCAGAUAAUGGCUGUUACCCAUUGUGGCUGCAUUCGGUUCCCUCGUUGCCUAGUUGAAUAAAGAAAAUGCCAUUUAAAAAAUCUU